GCAGGCCUAACACAUGCAAGUCGAGCGGUAGAGAGAAGCUUGCUUCUCUUGAGAGCGGCGGACGGGUGAGUAAUGCCUAGGAAUCUGCCUGGUAGUGGGGGAUAACGUUCGGAAACGGACGCUAAUACCGCAUACGUCCUACGGGAGAAAGCAGGGGACCUUCGGGCCUUGCGCUAUCAGAUGAGCCUAGGUCGGAUUAGCUAGUUGGUGAGGUAAUGGCUCACCAAGGCGACGAUCCGUAACUGGUCUGAGAGGAUGAUCAGUCACACUGGAACUGAGACACGGUCCAGACUCCUACGGGAGGCAGCAGUGGGGAAUAUUGGACAAUGGGCGAAAGCCUGAUCCAGCCAUGCCGCGUGUGUGAAGAAGGUCUUCGGAUUGUAAAGCACUUUAAGUUGGGAGGAAGGGUUGUAGAUUAAUACUCUGCAAUUUUGACGUUACCGACAGAAUAAGCACCGGCUAACUCUGUGCCAGCAGCCGCGGUAAUACAGAGGGUGCAAGCGUUAAUCGGAAUUACUGGGCGUAAAGCGCGCGUAGGUGGUUUGUUAAGUUGGAUGUGAAAUCCCCGGGCUCAACCUGGGAACUGCAUUCAAAACUGACUGACUAGAGUAUGGUAGAGGGUGGUGGAAUUUCCUGUGUAGCGGUGAAAUGCGUAGAUAUAGGAAGGAACACCAGUGGCGAAG
rnacentral:rRNA from 1 species